rnacentral:lncRNA from 1 species
ACAGAGGUAGACACAAACUAUGUGGAGUGUUCUACAUGAGUAGAAAGCUUAUGUUGAAACUGAAGGUCACAAGUGUACCUGAGCAAAAUAAAGUAGUAUCCUGAACUUACUUUAAGGUAGCUCUUCAGAGAGAACAGUAAUCAGGAUAUAAAGUGAAUAAAUUAAAAAAAAAAAGAUAGCUCUUCAACUAAUGGCUGCUGCUCUGGUGAAAAGCCAGGGAAGGGCCAAGGCAGCCAGUCAGGAUGCCAGUGCUGCAUCUGGGCUUGGGCAGGCUCAGACUCCUGUCAGAGCUGGUGUAGACAUUCCCACAGUGAUGUCCUGUCAGCACCAGUUAGUUUUCCAAAUCAGGGAUGCUAGCCUGGUGUGUUCUUUAUUGUUCUGUAUGUUCUCCCCAUAAAAACAGGAUGAGCCAGGAACAUAGCUCAGUGGGUAGUGUUUGCCUAUUGUGCAUGAUGUUCUGGGUUCAAUCCCCAGUACCCCGUAAGCCCACUUGGCGGCAUUGCUUGCAAUCCCAGUACCCCUCCCAGGAAGACCAGAAGUUCACGGUCAUUCUUAGUUCCACAGAAAACCAAACCUCCCUGGGAGUUAGGAGAUCCUUUCUGGAAAAAAAAAAAGUUCAAAAUGCAGUUCAAUUUUUAAAAACUAAACAAUAGAAGGACAUCCUCUAAAUGAGGCUGUGCCCAAAGCUGAGUGAUGAUAGUUAAGCUUGGAAUGUAUGGAGUAAACCACCCGCUUCUGUCUUCUCUCUGCAGAUUUGGAAUCCUACUCAUAAAACUCUUGCUGGUCACUUGAAUGCACAUUCAAAAUGCAAAGCCUGGGCUUCCGACUUCCAAAAAUGCAAUGCUUCCUGACAUUUCCUUGGUUGCCUCUUGAAGUUCAAUGUGAAUAGCUGCUGCUACUUCGAGAGUGCCUGAUAAUGUCUAUCACUGUGCAAGGAUGUAUGUCUCUCUGGUGACAUCUAAAUGUUGAUCGUGUAAAUUCUGCGGCAACACAUAAUGUAUUUCAAAGGCAUUGCCAAGUAGCAUCAAAAUCAUUUUCCCCCAAAUCUGGGUUUAACCUAACUGUCACAUCAAACUCAAAGGAAAACAAAUUACAAAGUUUAUUUAGAUGACUUCAGCUAAUUAAUUUUCUCCACUGAUAAUAUUUUGAACUUUAGGUACAUAGAACAUUAAGUGCUUAAAUCCUGUUGUUACUUGUAGUGGCUAAUUUACAAAGCAAGCUGACUGCAUGCAUGAAAAAAAAUUAAGACAAUUUCUAUUUUUGUACUAAGUAGAAACUUCUAACAUUAAAUACAUCUAUACUGUUUUUACUAUGCCAGUAAAUAUACAUUUUAAAUGUUGCCAUCUGAAAGCUAUAUAUCUCUCUCUACCUUCCUUUUGCUAACCUAUGAGAAGAUGCUAAUCAACUCUGAUACAGCUGUCUGAUGUCGUGGCUUAAGGUCCUUUUGUUCCUUCACGGAUCUUGUAUAGCAGUCACCUCUGGCUACGCCCGUCAUUUCUAUCCCCUCUCCAUGCUCCUCUUUCCAGUGCAGCUUGAUUUUCAAGCAGGUAUCAUCUUUUAAAAACAACUAUGCUUUCAGAGGAGUGGCCCCACACCUGCUAGUAACUAGAUCUAUUGUUGACCUAAAUCAGCCAUGCCACUGAUUAGCUUUGAAAUGAACAUGUGACACAACCCUGGCCAUAGGCAGCAGUUAAAGAAGUCAGCCAAGAUCAUUUCUGGGAAAAGGUUUCCAGCCCCAAAGAGAUGCAGAGAUUUUGCUCAUCUGGACAUUGCUGGAGCUGCACAUGAGGCUGGGCCCUGAGGCAACUUUCUGUAGCCCAAAGGGAAACUAUAGACCUGGGGGGGGGCAUCACCUUAACCCAGUCUUAUCAGACUUGAGGCCCCUGAUCAUGGUUUCUUAAAAUGCUAAAUACUCAAUUUUGCAGUCUCAGCCCCUUGCAAGUUGCUUUCAGCUAAGAGCUCUCAACGUCACAAUCUCUGGACAGAAUUUCAGAUGAGACUACCAAUCUAUUAUUUAUAAGCAAUUUGUAACAUUUAGAGCAGAUAAGGUGACUCCCACACCCCAAACAGCCCGUCUUUUACAUCAAGACUUCAUUUACAUCAUCAUUUAUCAUGCAAGACUUGAUAUGAUGUCAAAGGAUUCGAACAGUUCAGAGGUCUGAAGCCAGGGCUAUUACAGUGAACGAGGUUAAACAGAGAAGAGCAAGGGAUAUAGAUGGCUGAUGUGUUGAUCCCCAGUAGAAGAAGGGAGGGAGAGCCAUCACACAUCUCGCUUUCACACAUCAUUAUCCCCAAUGCAUUUGGAGGCAUGACUAGAAGAUGUCAGCUGCUACCAGGAAAGAUCUUCACAUUCUGGCUAAUUAUAAGACAAGCUGCACUCUUAGAAAGGCUGUCCAAAUGGCUGAAGUUGUAAACACAUCCCCUAGAUGGGCUAACCUAUAUAUUUCACGGCAUGGUCCUGCAUGGUGUAUAGAAGUCAUCAUUUGACUUUUGAAUUUGGGUAUUAGCAGAGAUGCUGAUCCAAUUCCAUGCCUGGAGGUGGGAGUAGAGGGGACUGCGUUUUGGCAGUAGAGCUUUUUAUCAUAAAGGGGAGAGUGAGCCCCUCUCAUUCAACCAUUGAUGAGCAAUUAGCGGACAAGGAUGGGCUGUCCUUGCUGAGACACUUUUUUAAAAAAUCUUUUUCCCACUUCGAGAUUUUAGAAAAUAUAACUGGCCAAAGCAACGGUAGGUAGGAGCUGGUUUCCAUUAUCAGAAUGGAGAUGUGAAAACAAUGUAUUUUACUCUGAAAAACGUUUGAGCUCCUUGAAAGAAAGGGACUUUGUAACUCUUAAAUGAGAAUAAUGAUAUAUUUUAUGUAAAAGAGUUAUAUGCUUGGCUUGUGAUAUUUAAAGCAAAAUGAUCACAGCAUAUGCUUGUUUUAUGUGAUCUGAAGGGUGACAUUCGAUUUUAGAACAUUGCCUGGCACACAGUAGGCAUGCAGAUACUGGGUGAAGGAGUAUUUGUUAACUAAUUGCUGGGGUUGGUAUUUAAAAGGAUGGAGACAUUCAUAUUUCAUUCAUCUGAAUAAACUAUUCUUUCUAUCUUCUUAAAACUUC